AGUGAACGCUGGCGGUAGGCCUAACACAUGCAAGUCGAACGGCAGCACAGUAAGAGCUUGCUCUUACGGGUGGCGAGUGGCGGACGGGUGAGGAAUACAUCGGAAUCUACUUUUUCGUGGGGGAUAACGUAGGGAAACUUACGCUAAUACCGCAUACGACCUACGGGUGAAAGCAGGGGAUCUUCGGACCUUGCGCGAUUGAAUGAGCCGAUGUCGGAUUAGCUAGUUGGCGGGGUAAAGGCCCACCAAGGCGACGAUCCGUAGCUGGUCUGAGAGGAUGAUCAGCCACACUGGAACGGAGACACGGUCCAGACUCCUACGGGAGGGAGCAGUGGGGAAUAUUGGACAAAGGGCGCAAGCCUGAUCCAGCCAUACCGCGUGGGUGAAGAAGGCCUUCGGGUUGUAAAGCCCUUUUGUUGGGAAAGAAAAGCAGCAGGUUAAUACCCCGCUGUUCUGACGGUACCCAAAGAAUAAGCACCGGGUAACUUCGUG
rnacentral:rRNA from 1 species